rnacentral:rRNA from 1 species
CCCUUAGAUGUUCUGGGCCGCACGCGUGCUACACUGAGUGGAUCAGCGGGUCAGGUUACGCGAGAGCGUUUCCUAAUCUUCAAAUCCGCUCGUGAUGGGGAUUGACGGUUGCAAUUUUCCGUCAUGAACGAGGAAUACCUUGUAAGCGCGGGUCAUCAUCCCGCGCUGAAUACGUCCCUGCCCUUUGUACACACCGCCCGUCGCUCCUACCGAUUGAGUGGUCCGGUGAGGCUUUGGGAUCUAAGCGAAAAGAGCGUUUCGCUGUUUCUGCCCGGAAAACUCAGUCGAACCUUAUCAUUUAGAGGAAGGAGAAGUCGUAACA